CCGAGGGACUCGAUCGGCAGUUGUGCUGGGGCUGGGGGCAGUUGGAUGAAGCCCUCGAUCACGGUGCACCGCACAGGAGAUGAGAGGCUCUGCCGUGUGCUUCUGGCAGCUUCCACUGUGUUCCUGUGAGUGGGAUGGGCUGGCGGGCCAGAAUGGUCCUUGAUGCCAAGCCCGCCCCGACUUUCGAAAAGCUAACCCUAGGACAUCGAGAAACAAAGAAACCCAGGCCCAUUCUAUGGCAGAAGGAGGGAUGCAAGAGAAAAUAUUUUUUUUUUAUGAAGAAAUUGUGAUAUGUUUAAAAUGUUUACAUCAAACCAAUAAAUGGCAUUAACCCCCAAAA